UUUCUGAUGUAAAUUUGGAGAGAGAAGAUGAGUGUGGGAUGUGUUUGGAGCCAUGCACCAAAAUAGUUUUGCCGAACUGCUGUCAUGCCAUGUGCAUCAAUUGCUACCAUGACUAGAACACAAGGUCAGAAUCUUGCCCAUUUUGCCGGGGAACUUUAAAGAGAGUGAAUUCAGGAGACUUAUGGGUUCUGACAUGCAGUAAUGAUGUGGUAGACACUCACACAUUACUGAAGGAGGAUAUAAUACGGUUCCAUCUCUUCAUAAACAGUAUGCUUAUGGAUAUUCCUGAUACUCUGUUUUUAAUAUAUUACGAGUUUUUAUUUUAAUCUAACAGAAUAAUGAUGUACAGGGAGAGGGAAGAGUAGCAUUGCUCUUUCCAUGUGUUGCGAUGUAUUUGACAUAGAUUACUGAUGUUGAACUCUUGCAAUAUAGGGGAGAAGGUCGCGU